GCAGUCGAGCGAGCUUUCGGGCUUAGCGGCGGACGGGUGAGUAACGCGUGGGAACGUGCCCUUUGGUACGGAAUAGUCCUGGGAAACUGGGUUUAAUACCGUAUAUUCCCUUCGGGGGAAAGAUUUAUCGCCAAAGGAUCGGCCCGCGUUGGAUUAGGUAGUUGGUGGGGUAAUGGCCUACCAAGCCGACGAUCCAUAGCUGGUUUGAGAGGAUGAUCAGCCACACUGGGACUGAGACACGGCCCAGACUCCUACGGGAGGCAGCAGUGGGGAAUCUUAGACAAUGGGGGCAACCCUGAUCUAGCCAUGCCGCGUGAUCGAUGAAGGCCUUAGGGUUGUAAAGAUCUUUCGCUGGGGAAGAUAAUGACGGUACCCAGUAAAGAAGCCCCGGCUAACUCCGUGCCAGCAGCCGCGGUAAUACGGAGGGGGCUAGCGUUGUUCGGAAUUACUGGGCGUAAAGCGCGCGUAGGCGGAUUGGAAAGUUGGGGGUGAAAUCCCGGGGCUCAACCCCGGAACUGCCUCCAAAACUAUCAGUCUGGAGUUCGAGAGAGGUGAGUGGAAUUGCGAGUGUAGAGGUGAAAUUCGUAGAUAUUCGCAGGAACACCAGUGGCGAAGGCGGCUCACUGGCUCGAUACUGACG
rnacentral:rRNA from 1 species